AAUUUUGCAAUAUUAUUUUAUUCACUUAGUUUUACAUGUUUACACUUUUAUCGCCUUCAAAGGAUUCACCAUUUGAAGCAAUGCAUCGAUCCACACGCGUUUUCCACUGUCCGAAACAGUCAUGGAA